rnacentral:sRNA from 1 species
GCUGGGCGUGGUGGCCUAUGCCUGUAAUCCCUGUGGUUUGGGAGGCUGAGACAGGAGGAUCAUGAGUUCAAAGCCAGUCUCAGCAAUGGAGAGGAACUAAGCAACUCAGUGAGACCCUGCCUCUA